CCAAAGUGCAUUGCCACCCACAGUGCAGGAAGGUUCCCUUUUACUCACAGACUCUCCAGCAUUUAUUAUUUGUAGACUUUUUGAUGAUGGCCCUUCUGA